AUAUUACCAAAAAUGAUAGAAACGAUAACAGAGUUGUAAUGUGACAAACUAUACGUGUUUCGAGUGUUAUUAUCGGUAAUUACAUACCUAAUAUUCAAAAACACACAAUAAUAAAAAACUCAAUCGCUAUAAUUUUUUCCUAUCACUGUAAGUUUAUUUGUGAAUUUUAAUUUUCAAAUGUUACGUAACGUAAUCAGGUACGAUCGACAAGCACCCCACCAUCUUCUGGUCGUAGUCACGAUAGCCGACGUUUGUUUUGUUAUUUUUUCUCUCCUCUCUGUCAGUAGCCAAACACACACAGAACCACUAACACGUUUUUUUAUUGCGUACGUUUUUCUUUCGUCUUUUUACACGGACUCAGAUGUUAGUCCGUGUCUUUUUAUUAUUGUUUUCUUGUGAAGUUAACACAAAAAAAUGGAGUAGGUACAUAGUCACUCAGAAACAUUUUCCCGUGGCGGUGAACGCUGCCGGGCAAGCUAAGGUGGUCGGUCACGACAGUCGACAGAUAUCCCGAAUCCAUUUUAAACAACAACAAAAAAGGUGCCAGUAUAGCAAGCGACACAAAAUUAGCCAAAUUAAUAUCAUAUAAAAAAAACACUAACUGUUUACCUAUAUCAAGUAAAAAACAUUCAAUUUGGAUUCAAAAUACAAUAAAAAAUAUAAACAUACAUGGAUUAAAAGGAACUAGAUGUCACUGUUAAAGGUGUCAAUGUAGAAUACAACACAACCUUGUACUGUAAUAUGCUUCCAAACCAAUAAAAACAGUUGAUUGAAAAUUCUAAAAAAAUUUUAAAAUGUUGGAUUCGAAUACUAAAGUAUACUGAAGCAUGUAAUAUACUCCUAGUGGUACAAAUAAGGGAACAAAUGUUAAGAAAUGAUUUUAAAAAAAUACAAGUCACAAGUGGUAGGUAAUGUAACAUUAAUUUGAACUGUAUAGUGUACGCCUAAUAUAUUUUUAGACUACAAAAUAAAGUCCGAAUUCGAGUAAAUGUACUGAGUGUGCAGUUCUUAGCCCUAAUACUAAACUCAAUAAAUAUUAAAUGUGUUGUAUAUAUUGGACAUUAAUGGUAUGGAAUACCUAUGAAUGCCAACAUGUUCCCACACAUCUCAAAUAAAAAAUAAAGUGACUGUUUAGUUUGGAGUUUUGGACUACUAAAUGAACGUUAAGCAGUCAACAGUCAAUAUGAAUAUUUGACUACACUGUCAUUCGGAGGAUGGUAAUACGAACCCCGCCCCGCCGCCUCAGUGAAUGAUGCACGUCGCGCGUAAUGAGCUGCGGCGGCCAUCAACCAAAUUUUAGAAAAAGCUCUUGGUCAUGUUCAAUAGAUUAAAGCUUAUCCUAAUUCGGAAUAUUAUAUUUAGUUUAUUUCUGUAGGUUUAGCCGUUUUCGAGAAAUAGCGUGGACAAACAUACAGACAGACAACCUAGCUGGCAAGAUACGAAGUUAAACAUAAACCUUUAAAAAUACUAUACUGUAGGUACAACUGGUACAAGUCAAAAGACAUAAUUUAAUGUAGGUGGAUGGCGGCUCUAAGCGAUUGGAUUUUUCAUGCAUUUAGACCUAUGAGCUGACAACAAAUAAAUAUACUUUUAGUAUUCCAGUUGUGUGAGACGCCGCCCUAUGUCGUCAGGUCGAUGUCAUGCUGCUACUGCGACCACACCGGUGCCAUCAGUAGUUGUCGCAUAAGUCCGCCAGCACCGUCCAUACGGUGUGUGAGAGGCCGCCCGAGGCCGUCCAGGUCGACGUAUGCCAACAGCGUCAGUCCAGUGGGUCAUCUCAAGACUUCAGUAGGGUUAAGGUAGUCUUAAGUAUAAUCCCUAUUAUUGUGAGCUCUGUGGUCAUUGCACCAAACCGAAUCGGCCACAGAGACCCCCUCCCCAUAACUAGCCUGCACCAUCCUCACUCCUUCGAUAGUUCUUUCCAGUCCUCGUCGUUGUCGUCGUCGUGCGUAGAAUUGCUUACCCACCAACCAUCAGGCGAAAGCACUUCUGGUUGCCUACCUGCUACAAUAGUAGGUGUUAGAGGUGACACAGGACAAAGUCAAAACCUCCUCAUAAACAAAAUUGUUCUCGGGCAUCACUCACCGAGUGGUCCUUCGGCUGUUAUGCUCGAAUUCUUGUGCGUAAACAGUAAGCAUGAAUUUAAAAUUAAAUUUAAAACGCUGAAGGACCACUCGAAAGGCUAUUCGAGAACACGGAAUGUUGUGGUUUUGUUAGCGCUGUAAAAAUCAAAAUGACAAACCAAUUUGAUUUUCCUUCUACUAUCCCGGGUAGGCAACCUAAAGUGCACGACGACAACUGAUUUUUAGGAGGAAAUUGAGGUGAAAUUUCUCUGGGAACUAAGAUUACUGAAGAUUCUGAGAUGAUGAGCACUCAGACAGAAAAUCAACGUGGACACUACCAUUUAACUUGAAGACCUUGGCGGCCUCUCACACACCCCGAGGUGCUGGCGGACUUACGCGGACGUGGAUGUCGUAGUAUUGUUUUGUACAGUAUACGUACAAACGGCUGGUCCAAGUCAUCCCACAUAAUUAUAAUAAUAUAAUGAACUGACUCACGGUUUAGGAAUGGUAACACCAUAUAUUUAUUUUUAUAAUAAUAGUAGGUAUAAAUGUUGCCGUUACAAUAACGGCGACAGGUAUUGUCGCACUAACAACACACAAUAAUAAUUUCUGGUCGCAUUGAUCGCAUAUUUGAUUGUACAAUAAUCAUAAAAGUAUAAUAAUAAUUCGUUUUACGCUAUAUUAGCGGAAAAGAAUACUUUCGAACGAACAACACAAAAAAAA